GCGCAUGCGCCGGGGGCCAGCUUCUGGUACUUUCGACGCGUCUGCUGACGCAGGUUCUCAGUGCGCGUCCGGACGUCGGAGGUGGAAGUGUUGGAGUUCGCUGUUCGAGAGUGGGUACUAAAAGCUCCUUUUAGUCCUACGUUCCGAAAGGAGGGCGUCUGUUGGGCCUUUCUCUCAGUCGUGAGGGAGGCGUCGACGGCCUGCGGAAGUCGUGAGUUGAGGCUUGCGGGAUCCUUUCCGGAGAAAGCGCAGGCUAAGGCCGCAGCGGAAGAUGUCCAACUACGUGAACGACAUGUGGCCCGGCUCGCCGCAGGAGAAGGAUUCGCCCUCCGCCUCGCGGUCGGGCGGGUCCAGCCGGCUCUCGUCGCGGUCUAGGAGCCGUUCUUUUUCCAGAAGCUCUCGGUCCCGUUCCCGCGUCUCGAGUCAGUUUUCGUCCAGGAGUCGGAGUCGGAGCCGGAGCAGGAGGUCAAGGUCCCGUUCCCGAAGGCGCCAUCAGCGGAAGUACAGGCGCUACUCGCGGUCAUACUCGCGGAGCCGGUCGCGAUCUCGCAGCCGCCGUUACCGAGAGAGGCGCUACGGCUUCUCCAGGAGAUACUACCGGUCUCCUUCGCGGUCCCGGUCCCGUAGCAGGUCGCGCUCUCGGGAAAGGUCGUACUACGGAAGGGCGUACGCGAUGGCGCGGGGGCGGCGCUACUACGGCUUUGGUCGCACAGUGUAUCCGGAGGAGCGCAGCAGAUGGAGGGACAGAUCCAGGACGAGGUCGCGGAGCAGAACCCCCUUUCGCUUAAGUGAGAAAGAUCGAAUGGAGCUGUUAGAAAUAGCAAAAGCCAAUGCAGCGAAAGCUUUAGGAACAACCAACAUUGACUUGCCAGCUAGUCUCAGAACUGUACAUGUAACCAAAGAAACAAGCCAUGGAAUAGGUGUAUCAAAUGGUGCAAAGCCUGAAAAAUCAUGAAUGUGGUCUGCAGACAUUGAUGAAGAAAAUCUGUUGGUAAUUGAUACAUGGUCUAAAGCAUCAGAGGUUUAAUUUGAAGUUUUGUUCACACUGAAAACUUAGUUUUCUUUGUUGGUUAGAUACAUGUGCAUGCUAGAAUUUGGGACAGGUACUAUUUGCAUACAGUAUUAAAGUCAAUUUUUAAAGUAAGCAAAGGUACACGUUGUAAUGGUGGGGCAUCUGUGAAAAAGAUGUCCCUUUCAUAAUAUAUGCAAUAUAUUCCAGAUGUUUUGAGAGAUUACAGAAGAGGAGGCCUGCUUCACUUGCAGAUAAGUUUAUUAUAAUUCUCCACAAAUGUGCAGGAUGUGCAUUAGCAAAUUGCACUGUACUUUUCACUCCAGCCUGGGUGACAAAGCGAGACUCCGUCUCGAGGAAAAAAAAAAAAAAGAUGCUGUAUCUAAAUGAAUCUGUGUAAUUGGGCCCAGAUGUGGGUUUGCUUAGUAUUAGUAGACAAGGUCUUUGUUCAGACGAUUAGGUGCCUAACUGGCAAAUGUCUUAGCUUCUUAAAGCUAGGUAUUUCUGAUGUGGCUUUACUUUUCAAAAGUUAACUUGAUUCAACCUGAGAAAACUGAUUAAAAAACUAGUUUAAAAAUUACUUAAAUUUGUCAGCAGGGAAGUCAAAUAAUUAUGAGAAGAACGUCUUAAGCCUAAUAUUAAAUCAGUUUUGUUAAGGGGAAAACUUAAUAAUUCUGUUACUUCAGCUGUUGAAUAUAUGGUUAGAUCCAAGUUGAUUUUUGUGUCUACAACUAAAUUUUGUAUACAAUUAGAUUAUUUUUUAAUAUAGGAUUUAGAAACCAAGGGUAUGUGUUUUAAAAUUACACUUUUUCUUGACCUGUCUAGCUGUCAGAAAAGGUAACAGAAGAUGGAACUAGAAAUCCUAGUGAAAAACCUUCCCAGCAAAGAAGCAUAGCUUUUAGCUCUAAUAAUUCUGUAGCAAAACCAAUACAAAAAUCAGCUAAAGCUGCCACAGAAGAGACAUCUUCAAGAUCACCAAAAAUAGAUAAGAAAAAAAGUCCAUAUGGACUGUGGAUACCUGUCUGAAAGGAGAAAACUAAUGGCUAAGUUUGCAUGAAAACUGCACUUUAUUACAAGUUAGUGUUUCUAGCUAGCAUUAUCCUAUCCCUUUGAGCCAUUCAGGGGUACUUGUACAUUUAAAAACCAACACAAAAAGAUGUAAAUACUUAAUACUCAAAUAUUAACAUUUUAGGUUUCUCUUGCAGAUAUGAGAAAUAGCACAGAUGGACCAAAGGUUAUACACAGGUGGGAGUCUUUUGUAUAUAGUUGUAAAUAUUUCCUUGGUUAUGUAAAAAUGAAAUUUUUUAGACACAGUAAUUGAACUGUAUUCCUGUUUUGUAUAUUUAAUAAAGUUCUUGUUUUAAUUCU